GGGUCUGCAGAGGGAAAUGAAACAGUUGUGUGUGCCAUAGUUAUUCCUCAUUAAACUGUUUGCAAACAAGUUGUUUGUUCAAUCUGCCCUGGAGUACAUGUUUGAGGAUAAAAUGCUACUGGCGAACCAGCUACCACAAUUAUAAAGGGCCAUAAGAAGAUGCUUUGCAGCAUAGAGCUGAUCAUGGGCAGUUUACCAUAAGCCGUACCACUCUGCUAGAUGGUCCCCUGCCUCUUCAGGUGUGACUCAGAGCCUGCCACAGCCCUUCUUCUAGCUCUCCCUCCUCUUCUGCUGCCCUGAGCAUAGCAGGCCAUCAUGGUCAGAGUCUCCACGAAGACCUUAUUUCCACCAUCAUCACGCCUACAAGAAACAAACUACAUAGAGAGGUCCUACGGGCUCAUCUGCUGCUACUCACAGUCUGAAGGAUCCGUGCUACAGCAUAGUGUCAAGCUGCUGCCUCACAUGGACCCCAACCUCUUUGAGCAGUUCCUUACAACCACUAGAUUUAAAUUUUGUACAAAGGAGGGAAGAGGUAUUUCUAUUUAUACUGUUUUCUUGCUUAUCCUCCCCUGAUCAAGAUAAUG
rnacentral:lncRNA from 1 species